rnacentral:rRNA from 1 species
UAGGGAAUCUUCCGCAAUGGACGCAAGUCUGACGGAGCAACGCCGCGUGAGUGAAGAAGGAUUUCUGUUCGUAAAACUCUGUUGUUAGAGAAGAACAGCGCAUAGAGUAACUGUUAUGCGUGUGACGGUAUCUAACCAGAAAGCCACGGCUAACUACGUGCCAGCAGCCGCGGUAAUACGUAGGUGGCAAGCGUUGUCCGGAUUUAUUGGGCGUAAAGCGAGCGCAGGCGGUCAAUUAAGUCUGAUGUGAAAGCCCCCGGCUCAACCGGGGAGGGUCAUUGGAAACUGGUUGACUUGAGUGCAGAAGAGGAGAGUGGAAUUCCAUGUGUAGCGGUGAAAUGCGUAGAUAUAUGGAGGAACACCAGUGGCGAAGGCGACUCUCUGGUCUGUAACUGACGCUGAGGCUCGAAAGCGUGGGUAGCAAACAGG